rnacentral:rRNA from 1 species
UGGGGAAUCUUCCGCAAUGGACGAAAGUCUGACGGAGCAACGCCGCGUGUAUGACGAAGGCCUUCGGGUUGUAAAGUACUGUCUUUGGGGACGAACGGUAUCUAUGUAAAUAAUGCAGAUACAUGACGGUACCCAAGGAGGAAGCCCCGGCUAACUACGUGCCAGCAGCCGCGGUAAAUACGUAGGGGGCGAGCGUUGUCCGGAAUCAUUGGGCGUAAAGGGCGCGUAGGCGGGUCAUUAAAGUCUGGUGUGAAAGGCAGGGGCUCAACCCCUGGAAGGCACCGGAAACUGGUUAUCUUGAGGACAGGGAGAGGAAAAGCGGAAUUCCACGUGUAGCGGUGAAAUGCGUAGAUAUGUGGAGGAACACCAGUGGCGAAGGCGGCUUUCUGGACUGUAAACUGACGCUGAGGCGCGAAAGCUGGGGAGCAAACAGGAUUAGAUACCCUGGUAGUCCACGCCGUAAACGAUGAGUGCU